rnacentral:lncRNA from 1 species
GCCACACACUCGUUAGUUGUGAGCUCAACUGGGAUUGAGAGUACAAUUGUCCCGCAUAUCAUUCAUUCCAUUAGCUAAUCGCUUCUGUUGCGAUCCUUGGUGGUUCAACCCAUUUGUUCUUUCAUAUCAAUCGUAGUACAACCCAAUCGCUCUUAAGUUGACUUCUCAUACUUAUAGAUUAUGAUUCUCAAUUAUUUGGCUAAGAUAACUUCCAUCGUUGAGCCUCCCUCUACUGAUUCCAAUCACAUUUCUUAACUUUGUUUUCUCUCAUUAUUUGUUGUCAUUUGCUCAACAAGUAUUUAUAUAAAUCAUCCCAAAUCAACUCCCACUUUUCAGAUUUCCAUGGAUAUAAAAAGAAAUGGUGGCUCAUCAUUCGUACCAUUUCUUUUGUUGAUGGGCAUGAAUUACGGGUCAUUAUGAACUCACCAACAAGCAACCAACCAUUUUGACUCCUUGUUAGUACUUAAAAGUUAACAACUUUAAUCAUCUUCUACUAGAUAAAAUAAGUUGUGUUUUCAAAGUUCAUGUGUAAAGCAAAAGAGAUUGUCUUAUAGUGACUUUAACAUAGAUUACACUCCCAUUGUGAAAUAAUAUAUAACUAUAUUUAUAUCAACUAUAUAUUACAUAUAUAACAAAACCCUAAAAUAAAGUUAAGUUGUCCAAAAUAACAAACUAGCGUCCUCCUUGAAAAAUUAUAAAAAUUUCAAGUUAGAUUGUCUUGGAUUUUAGGAUGUAUUAAGGCUAUCUCCAUGUAUUAGAGAAUAUAAGAAAUUCUAUUUAACAAUUUAAAAAAUUAUAAGAUUUUUUUGUAGCCUUAUCCUUGCAAUUGAAGUAGGAGAUUAAAUCCGAAACUCUUGUCGAAAUUGGGCAAGCAUGCUAGCCUGAAAAGAUUGGUUCCGUCGGAAAACAAGAGGGGUUGGUCAAUAUCGGUUUCAGAAAGUUUCAAAUUGAAAACUUUAAAAAAUUAUUUAUAAGUCGAUCAACCCAAUUAAUAUCAACUGACACUUACUCAUCAAUGUCGAUUUUGUAAAAAAUACCAUCUCCGACCGACCGAUUAACACCGAAGUCGGGAACUUACGCAUACUAGAUAAGUGUAGAGUAUAUAUAUCUUUUUCAAAUUUGAUUAAAUUACCAAAUAUUAUAUCCAAUUCUCUCUCUACCCUUUUUUUAUCUGCGUUCCCGCCCGCUCGGUGAACUCAUUUGCGCAGCUCUUUCCUCUUUCUCUUCUUUGUCUUCCUCUCGGCUUCACAAUCUUCAUCGUCAAUCUUUGAUCCAGCCUAAGAAGGCGCUGUACAUUAUAGGGUUUUAAGUAGAAGGUGAGUUUUCAGAUUGCUUUUAUAUCUUCUGUCAAGCUAUGAUGCUUUUGUACUUAUCGACCACUUUCUCAUGCAAGAAUAUUUGAGUUUGAGAAUUAUUUGCUGAAAUUUUUAUGGGUUUAUGGAGUAUUUUCUACUUUGUUUUGGCGGAGUUGAGUUUGCUUCUUAGGUGUAGAGAAGUUUGUUCAGUGUUGUUUUUGUUUUUGAGGCUACAACUCAAUGAAAAAACUCAUUGUGUUCAUGGAAUUAGGGUUUAUCUUGUUUAAUGGGGAACAGGCAUGUUUGGUAUUGAUUUGUGCAUUGUACUGGUAGUCGAGAUCGCAUUGCCAUCUUACAGUUGCUUAUUCUUUUUUUUCUUAUUUUCUUGAUAGUUAUUAGACAAUUGAAACCUCAUAAUUCAACCAAAAUUAAUUCACUUUUACAAAUAUUAGUUUUAGUAGUUUUUUAUUUUACUCAUUUGGUCAUAUAUUUCUUUUCUUUUGGAAUGGAUGUGUAAUUUUAUUUUUGUUGGAUGGUUUGAAAUAUUUAGGUUCAUGUUGUCAUUCUUCUAGUUUUAUUUUUGAAUAAUUAUAAUUUGUGACAAUUUUUAGAAUAAUGACUAAGUGUAGUAAUUAGAGGUUUAAGAAUAACUUGGGUAAUCCAACAACUUGGAUUAUCCAAUCCAUAUUAUAUGGGUUGGGUUGGGUUAGGUUAAAAUAUGGAUUGGAUUGGGUUGGGUUGAAAAAAAUGAAUUUUUUUUAGUUGGGUUUAGUCUCGGGUUGUAAGGUUGAAAAAUUCGAUCAUAUAUAUAUAUAUAUAUAUAAAUAAAUAUUCCUCUCUUCUCACUCUCAAUCCUCCUUUGCGCGUCGCAUCCCUUUUAUUCUCACAUCUCCUACGUCUUCGACAUCUCCUUCGUCUCUUACUUUCCUUCAUCUCUGACUCUCCUUGUCCUACUUAUCCCGCGCAUUCCUUAUAUUAUCACAUCUCCUCCGUCUUCGACAUCUUCAUUUCUAACUCUCCUCUAUCUUUGAUCUUCACAGUUCAUCUCGUUAGAUCUCAGAUCUCAUAUACUCGCAGUUCGACGUCAUGUUCUUCUUUGUCAAUCUCUUCAGCUUCUGAAUAACCCGACAAUCCAAUUUAUAUUUUAUGGGUUGGUUUAGAAACUUGAUUUAACCCAAAUAACCUAAAAGUAUGGGUUUGGUUGAGAUGUUUCUCAACCCAACCUUACUACACCCUUAACAGCAACUUUUUUAAAAAUUGCAGAUAUAGCAAAAUUCUUUAGUGAUAAACUUCUAUCGCUCAUAGAUUAUUAUGGUCUAUCAUGAUUGAUUUUGACAGAUUUUGCUUUAUUUGUAAAUUUUUUAAAAUGUUGCUAUAUAUUUAAUUAUUUUAAAUUUAAUUACUAUAUUUGCAACUAUUCUUUUAUUUUGUGUGGUUCUUCUAUUAUUUGGUACACUUUAUAUAUUAUUAUUUUCUUUGGUUUUAUUAUAUUAUGAGAUAUAUUCUGUUAAUUUUGUGCAAAAUACUCUACACAUAUUUUACUUGCUAUAUGUUUCUUUUCUUUGAUUCUUCCAUUUAUCUUUUAAUUCUCUUUUGAAUAUUUAUUUUCUUGAAAAUCUUGGAUUGUAUUUUGUGGAUUUUUUUUCUUAACGUGCACUUCAUCUUUUGAGGUCAAAUGUUUAAUCUAUCAUUUGAUUUAUGUAUCAUGGUCUUAUUUAAGAACGGAAGAGUUCACUACAUUCGAAAAAUCAAGACUCUGUUUACGAACUCUUUCCAAAACACUUCUUGGACGUUUCUUUUUGUUUUUGUUUUUGUUUUUUUCUUUGAAAAAUAAGAUAUUUUACAAAACUUUUGAAAAACUGCAUGAGCAAGGAUGUUGGCCACACACAGGGCAAUGAGCAGCAAGGCAACAUGCACCAUGGUGCGCGGAAGAUGUUGUCUUGGUGCCAUCUUUGCACAUGCGGAAGCGAACUUUCAAAUGGCAUUUACAAAACAUUGGGAAAACACUUUUUUUUCUUCCUAUUUUCUUCUAGAAAGUCUUUCCAGAACAUAUGUAUAUAUAUGUGUGUGUAUAUACAUAUAUAUUUGCAAAAUCUCUCGUUUAAAAGGUCUAUACAAGAACAUGUUCUAAAAGUUUUCUCGCUUCAAAUUCUGUUUACGAACUCUUUCCAAAACACUUCUUGGACGUUUCUUUUUGUUUUUGUUUUUGUUUUUUCUUUGAAAAAUAAGAUAUUUUACAAAACUUUUGAAAAACUGCAUGAGCAAGGAUGUUGGCCACACACACGGCAAUGAGCAGCAAGGCAACAUGGCCACACACUCGUUAGUUGUGAGCUCAACUGGGAUUGAGAGUACAAUUGUCCCGCAUAUCAUUCAUUCCAUUAGCUAAUCGCUUCUGUUGCGAUCCUUGGUGGUUCAACCCAUUUGUUCUUUCAUAUCAAUCGUAGUACAACCCAAUCGCUCUUAAGUUGACUUCUCAUACUUAUAGAUUAUGAUUCUCAAUUAUUUGGCUAAGAUAACUUCCAUCGUUGAGCCUCCCUCUACUGAUUCCAAUCACAUUUCUUAACUUUGUUUUCUCUCAUUAUUUGUUGUCAUUUGCUCAACAAGUAUUUAUAUAAAUCAUCCCAAAUCAACUCCCACUUUUCAGAUUUCCAUGGAUAUAAAAAGAAAUGGUGGUGGCUCAUCAUUCGUACCAUUUCUUUUGUUGAUGGGCAUGAAUUACGGGUCAUUAUGAACUCACCAACAAGCAACCAACCAUUUUGACUCCUUGUUAGUACUUAAAAGUUAACAACUUUAAUCAUCUUCUACUAGAUAAAAUAAGUUGUGUUUUCAAAGUUCAUGUGUAAAGCAAAAGAGAUUGUCUUAUAGUGACUUUAACAUAGAUUACACUCC